rnacentral:rRNA from 1 species
CCUACGGGAGGCAGCAGUGAGGAAUAUUGGUCAAUGGACGAGAGUCUGAACCAGCCAAGUAGCGUGAAGGAUGACUGCCCUAUGGGUUGUAAACUUCUUUUAUAAAGGAAUAAAACGAGGCACGUGUGCCUUUUUGCAUGUACUUUAUGAAUAAGGAUCGGCUAACUCCGUGCCAGCAGCCGCGGUAAUACGGAGGCUCCGAGCGUUAUCCGGAUUUAUUGGGUUUAAAGGGCGCGUAGAUGGGUUGUUAAGUCAGUUGUGAAAGUUUGCGGCUCAACCGCAAAAUUGCAAUUGAUACUGGCAGUCUUGAGUACAGUUGAGGUAAGCGGAAUUCGUGGUGUAGCAGUGAAAUGCUUAGAUAUCGCGAAGAACCCCGAUUGCGAAGGCAGCUUACUAGACUGUGACUGACAUUGAGGCACGAAAGUGUGGGUAUCAAACAGGAUUAGAUACCCCUGUAGUC